UUCCCCCUUGGCCGCCGCCCCCCUGCCCAUCUCCUCCUCUCUCAAUUCUUGCAGCCACCAAACCCUAGCCGCCCCCCCUCUCAAUCCCCUCCUCCCAAGGUGCCAAUCCUUGCCGCUCGGAUCAUCGUCGUCGUGGUGCGAGUCUUCAAUCGUUUUGGUGGAGGGAAGAAGGGAGGAAGGAAAGGGGGAGAAUCCAAGGUGAUUUUUGUGUUCAUCCCUUGUUCAUUUGCGCUGCAAUUUAAUUGAUUAGAGGUUGCGUUUGCGAUUGGGGUAGAGGGGGGCUGUCCAGAAUUUUAGGUGGUGGGUGAACAGCAGUAGUCUAGCAGUUUCUGUGUUUUUUCGUGAGGAAUUAAGGGAAAUCAGUUUGGGGAUCAUGUAGAACUUUACCUUACCUUUCCAACGAGUAUUUAUGCGCUCAAUUUGGAGUUAUAAAUUGAAAGAUAUCACCGUUUGAAUCCGGGUAUGUGGCUGUCAAAAAAACAGAUUUUUCAGGGGGAUGAACAGCAGCAGUAUUAGCAGUUUCUGGGGAUUUUUCGGGAGAAAUUAGUGUUAAUCAGUAUGAGAAUCAUGUAGGGCUUUAUGUUAUCUUUCCAACAAGUACUUAUGUGCUCGAUUCGGAGUUAUAAUUCAGGAGAUAUCGUUGUUUGAAUCCAAUUAUGUUGCUGUCCAAAAAAACAGAUUUUUCAGGUGGGUGAACAGCAGUGGUAUUAGCAGUUUCUGAGAAUUUUUCGUGUGUAAUUAGUGUUAACCAGUAUGGUAAUCAUGUAGGGAUUUGUCUUAUCUUUCCAAUGAGUACUUAUGCGCUUGAUUUGGAAUUAUAUUUUAAAAGAUAUCGUUGUUUGAAUCUGGGUAUGUCGCUGUCCAAAAGACAAAGAAAAACAGAUUACAGGGUUCAUCUUGUGGACUGUUUUGGGCUAAUUAGAUAUUGGAAUUUAAUUGUAAAUUGUAUACAAAACUUGUGGGGAAUCUUAUGUAGAUGCCUCUGGAGUUUUUUUUGUUACCACUGCUGUCAUAAUUUUAAAGUUAUGAAAUUAUUAAGCAGCGCCGCUGCAGUUUGGUGGGUGUAGGGAGAGAUGUAACCCGCGGCGGGGUUUGAGUUUGUGCGUAGGUACGGCGUCGCUUAUGAGCCUGAUUAUGUGAAAUUGGUGUACUAAGUUGGGUGUCAAAAACAGGUGGUGGGCUUCCGGAUCGUACUUGGGAUUUGCCCGAACUUUCGGUAAAGGCAAGUAAAUACAGUGGUGGUUGCUACCGUUUGGUUUGCAUCCUAUUCCCUGUCAUUGAGUAUGCAUAAGUUUUAAUUAUGUUAAUCAUUGAAUUCUAUGAUGAAGUUUAUUUGUUUGGAAGUAUUAAUUCUCAAUUGUCUAAUAUUGUGGAUGAUCAUAAUUUGGUAAUGAUAUAUGUGGUUGAUUCCCAUCUGGAUAAAGUUGAAGUGUCUUUUUGAAUCAUGUUAUAUGAAGUGUUGUAGGCAUGACAUGCACAUCGCAUCAUCCAUCUUGCAUUUUGAAGUUAUGUCGUGAUCUUAUGGUCCGACCGUACCGGUACAUUUUUAGCAUCGUACGUUGCCCGAGGAGGGGUACGAUGCGGCUUCAUAUCCUUAGAGGUAUGAAGGCAGAAGUCAUCCUUGCAUUUGCAGACAUUUGCACUCAUGAGGAAUAUAUGAAGUGUGACAUUACUAUGUUACUAUUGUGGUUUCUACCUGCGAGGUGUGGUAACUAGGUGCGUUGUACGUUGUAUACGUGUUGCACCUUCGUAAUAAGAAGGUUGUGGAAUUAAGUGGUGGUAAAACAAUGUUCUUAUGUGGUUAAACUGUUUGAUAUUAUUUUACUUGCUGAGAUGUGUCAUCUCACUCUUGCAUUACUCAAUGCAGGUACUUGAUACAUGUUGGGAAUGAGGGGAGUAGCAGCACGUCCACUUUCACUCUCACAAACGCUGCCCAGGCGCAGCCAUGAUUUAAUUAGAAACUUAUUGUCAAAGGAAGUUUGUUUUUUUUAUAUGGUCGUGCACACUGGUUAAUUCAGUUCAGGUCGUAUGUUUAUCUUUCCUUGCUAGCCGAGUAAUAAUACUUAGUAUGUUUUAGUCAUGAUAUAUGUUUAUACUCUGUUGCUCCCUCUUUUAUGCAAUCUUGCAAAGGGGAUGCUGCCGAAAUUUUAUAUAUGGACGUCGGAAGUGUAGUACAGUAGC
rnacentral:lncRNA from 1 species